UACGUAGGGGGCGAGCGUUGUCCGGAUUUAUUGGGCGUAAAGAGCUCGUAGGCGGUUUGGCAAGUCGGGUGUGAAAACUCCGGGCUCAACUCGGAGACGCCACUCGAUACUGCUAUGACUCGAGUCCGGUAGGGGAGUGCGGAAUUCCUGGUGUAGCGGUGAAAUGCGCAGAUAUCAGGAGGAACACCGGUGGCGAAGGCGGCACUCUGGGCCGGUACUGACGCUGAGGGGCGAAAGCGUGGGGAGCGAACAGG
rnacentral:rRNA from 1 species